rnacentral:rRNA from 1 species
AUACGGAGGGUGCGAGCGUUAAUCGGAAUUACUGGGCGUAAAGCGUGCGUAGGCGGUUUGCUAAGUCAGAUGUGAAAGCCCCGGGCUUAACCUGGGAACUGCAUUUGAUACUGGCAGACUAGAGUAUGAUAGAGGGGGGUAGAAUUCCUGGUGUAGCGGUGAAAUGCGUAGAUAUCAGGAGGAAUACCAGUGGCGAAGGCGGCCCCCUGGAUCAAUACCGACGCUGAGGUACGAAAGCGUGGGGAGCGAACAGGAUUAGAUACCCUAGUAGUCC